rnacentral:rRNA from 1 species
UCCUGCCUACGGGACGCAGCAGUGGGGAAUAUUGCACAAUGGGGGAAACCCUGAUGCAGCGACGCCGCGUGAAGGAAGAAGUAUUUCGGUAUGUAAACUUCUAUCAGCAGGGAAGAAAAUGACGGUACCUGACUAAGAAGCCCCGGCUAACUACGUGCCAGCAGCCGCGGUAAUACGUAGGGGGCAAGCGUUAUCCGGAUUUACUGGGUGUAAAGGGAGCGUAGGCGGUUUAGCAAGUCAGAAGUGAAAGCCCGGGGCUCAGCUCCGGGACUGCUUUUGAAACUGUACAGCUUGAUUGCAGGAGA